rnacentral:antisense_RNA from 1 species
CGGACCACUGUCUUGUAUGUUUCCUAAGAAAAGCAAAAAGGGAAGAGAUUGAAGAGAAAGUAGAUUUUCAGCUACAAACUUUCAUCCAUUAGCUUUCAGCUUAAGCAAAUGUGCGCAAAGUUGUCAUGGAUCUUUGCGGUCAAUAAAAACCAAGCAAGAAGACUGAAUCCCAAGUCAUCUGGGGCAGAUAAGAAAAGAAACAAUUUGCUGAAACUCCCUCUGCUUAUAACAAAACUGACUGAAAUCAGCUGGAAUCAAUAUGGCCAAAUGCAGUUUGCACACAGCAAGCUUGCUGAUGUCACAGCCUGAAUUUCUACCGCAUGUUUCAUAUGAACUCCCUCCAAAUUUGCGCAUAGGACCUAUGAGGAAGCAUGAAGAGAGAGCCAUCCAUGCCAGAAGACUUCCCAGAUGUUCCCUUUGCUUCCACCAAUUACCUGCUAACCCCAGGAUCCAACCCUAAACCUUCUGUAAUAAAAUUACUGCCUUAAAGCCAGUACAAGAAGACAGGUUUGAACCGGACUCCUGUUUCCUCAGAAGUUAACUUGCAAUGUGAAGCUUUUCUUUUCUCAAAAACCUGGUGUCAUAGUGUUGGCUUCUAGUGCAGUGAGCCCCUUUUGCUGCAUAACACUACCUGGUAAUUUGACAUACCAGGUGGUUAGUAACUACUGACUGCCUCCAGGUUGCAACACAAUUAUUACCCACUUGGGUGAAAAGAGAAGACAGGAAAUAAAUAUUGGAGUCGGCUGGCAACCUGUUUACAAAGCAAUUUACAACAGUUCCUUAUUCUUAAGGGGUUAUUCUAAUGUAAGACCUCAGAGAAACAGUGCAGUGUGACAAAGGAGGAAUUUAUCAAAGGAGACAGAAAAAGCAUCAAGGCAAGCUGUGAAAUGGUGCAGUAGGAACCAAAUAGAGAGCCAAAGGAUCUCUCUGUCACUGCAGGCCCUUAGGCUGAACUCUGAGAACACCACAACUUCACAGAGACUGCUGGUUUUCUGCAAUUAGCAGCAAGAGUCUUGACUCAGGGAAGUUGCUCUCCAGUCCAGACUAGCAAAAGACAGAGAGAAUGGGCUCUGCAGAAGACAGAUCCAGACAAGCCAUGCAUGAUUCAUGCCACCUGCAGCCACAUGGGUGUCAAUACCAAGAACCUGCCAUAUGUCAUCAAGAGUGUGUUAAAUGAAACCUUCUCAAGAGUUAUUCUUUUGUGCUCUGUCCAAAUCUGGAGAACCCUUCCAAGUACUAUAAAGAUUGAUAUCUUGGCCGGGCCUGGUGGCUCACACCUGUAAUCCCAGCACUUCGGGAAGCUGAGGUGGGCAGAUCACAGGGUCAGGAGUUCCAGACCAGCCUGGCCAACAUGGUGAAACCCCAUCUCUACUAAAAAUACAAAAAUUAGCCAGGUGUGGUGGCGGGCGCCUGGAAUUCCAGCUACUCGAGAGGCUGAGGCAAGAGAAUCGCUUGAACCUGGAAGGCUGAGGUUGCAGUGAGCCAAGAUCACACCACUGAACUCCAGCCUGGGCAACAAGAGUGAAACUCUGUUUCAAAAAAAAAAAAGAUUGAUAUCUUGACCAUAUAGAGACUUCUCCCAACUGAUCAUUUUUGUUCACAUUCUGUUGUACAGAAUAUGAAUAUUUGGAAGGCAGCAUUCUUUCCUAAUAUUUAAAUGAUUGCCAAAAAUAUUUAAAUGAUCAUUAAUACUCAUUUAAAUUAAUAAUAAUCUUUAAAGUUAUUUUGGGGUAUACUGCAUAAUGUAAUCGUGUUGUCAGAAAACUUAAAGGGGCCCAAAAGGAAAAGUCACUACAUUUGUUUUUGGUAAUAAACAAGCCCCACUUCUUACUUUCUG